AAUCUUCCGCAAUGGACGAAAGUCUGACGGAGCGACGCCGCGUGAGUGAUGAAGGUCUUCGGAUCGUAAAACUCUGUCGUUAGGGAAGAACAAGUAUCGACCGAAUAAGAAGGUACCUUGACGGUACCUAACCAGAAAGCCACGGCUAACUACGCGCCAGCAGCCGCGGGAAUACGUAGGGGGCGAGCGUUGUCCGGAAUUAUUGGGGGUAAGGGGCGCGCAGGCGGUCUUUUAAGUCUGAUGUGAAAUUUCGUAGCUUAACUAAGGGCGGUCAUUGGAAACUGGGAGACUUGAGGACAGAAGAGGAGAGUGGAAUUCCACGUGUAGCGGUGAAAUGCGUAGAGAUGUGGAAGAACACCAGUGGCGAAGGCGACUCUCUGGUCUGUAACUGACGCUGAGGCGCGAAAGCGUGGGGAGCGAACA
rnacentral:rRNA from 1 species